UGCUUAACCACACCCCCACGGGAUACAGCAGUGACUAACAUUAAGCCAUAAACGAAAGUUUGACUGAGUCAUAAUUUAAUAGGGUUGGUAAAUUUCGUGCCAGCCACCGCGGUCAUACGAUUAACCCAAAUUAACAGACCACCGGCGUAAAGCGUGUUUAAGUAUAAUACUCUAAUAAAGUUAAAACCUAACUAAACUGUAAAACGUUAUAGUUAAUACCAAAAUAUGCAACUAAAGUGACUUUAAUCUACACUGAACACACGAUAGCUAAGACACAAACUGGGAUUAGAUACCCCACUAUGCUUAGCCCUAAACCCAAAUAGUUAAAAAACAAAACUAUUCGCCAGGGAACUACUAGCUAAUGCUUAAAACUCAAAGGACUUGGCGGUGCCCUAAACCCACCUAGAGGAGCCUGUUCUAUAAUCGAUAAACCCCGAUAAACCCCACCUCUUCUUGCCAAUACAGCCUAUAUACCGCCAUCGUCAGCUCACCCCAAUAGGGACCCAAAGUAGGCAAAACUAUAUAAUCAUAAAAACGUUAGGUCAAGGUGUAGCAUAUGAAGAGGGAAGCAAUGGGCUACAUUUUCUAAACUAGAACAUAACGAAUGGCCUUAUGAAAUCUAAGACCUGAAGGAGGAUUUAGUAGUAAAU
rnacentral:rRNA from 1 species